UAAUACAAAUCAACACAAUAAAGAAAUAAUAAUUAAAUAGAGUCAACGCCAAAAACUAAGCAAGCAAUUAAAAAAACGAGAGACAUUCAUUGAAAAAUAUUAUCAAUCACCAAAAAAUUUUAAAAUAUCAACUUAAAAUAUGGAAUAAAAUACCACGAGCAACUCAAUAAAAAUAGAGGUAUCAACAACUCAACAAAGGAAUAAAAUAACUUAAAAUUGUGAUGUGAUAUUUUACUUUGUCAGAGUAACAUGAAAAAUUAAAGUGUAAAAAAUGGAUGAAGGGAGCAGUAGAAACGAUGGUGCGUCAGAGGAAAAAGAAAGAGGGUGGCGGUGAAAGAGAGGAGAAUGGUGGAGGAAGAUCUGAGAUUGAACUUCGGUGAUUAUUUGGUUGUGGUUUUGUUGUUGUUUUAGCAGUGGUGGUGGUUGAGAUUUCUGGAGGGAGAUCGCCAGCGGCUGCUGUGGGCUGGAAGAUCGCCGGUCAUCACUUUCAGCAAACUAGUGGUGGAGCGGCGGAGAGGAGAAAGGGAAAAGAGAAUGUUUGGCAGUGGUGUUUGGAACUCUGGUGCUUUAACCGGUGGAGGGGGGCGGUGAUCUUCCCUUUGGCAGUGAAGAGAGAUGGACAAAUUGAAGAAAAAAAUGGAGAGAAGGGCAACUGUGAGAUGCAAAAAUAGGGAGCAAAAGGUGUGUAUAUGCGUGUGGGUUUGUAUUGUGUCCGUAUUUGGUGUGUGUCAGUGUGAAUAUAUU
rnacentral:lncRNA from 1 species